UGGUUCUCUCCGAAAUAGCUUUAGGGCUAGCGUCGACAUAAAGAUUCUUGGAGGUAGAGCACUGUUUGGGUGAGGGGUCCAUCCCGGAUUACCAAUCUCAGAUAAACUCCGAAUGCCAAAGAAUUAUGGUCGGCAGUCAGACUGCGAGUGCUAAGAUCCGUAGUCGAAAGGGAAACAGCCCAGACCACCAGCUAAGGUCCCAAAAUAAUUGUUAAGUGGAAAAGGAUGUGGGGUUGCACAGACAACUAGGAUGUUAGCUUAGAAGCAGCUAUUCAUUCAAAGAGUGCGUAAUAGCUCACUAGUCGAGUGACCCUGCGCCGAAAAUGUACCGGGGCUAAAACAAUUUACCGAAGCUGUGGAUACCUUUAUAGGUAUGGUAGGAGAGCGUUCUAUGUGUGGAGAAGGUGUACCGUGAGGAGCGCUGGAACGCAUAGAAGUGAGAAUGCCGGUAUGAGUAGCGAAAGACAGGUGAGAAUCCUGUCCACCGUAAGACUAAGGUUUCCAGGGGAAGGCUCGUCCGCCCUGGGUUAGUCGGGACCUAAGGAGAGACCGAAAGGUGUAUCCGAUGGACAACAGGUUGAUAUUCCUGUACUAGAGUAUGAAGUGAUGGAGGGACGCAGUAGGCUAACUCGUGCGUACGAAUGGAUGUACGUCUAAGCAGUGAGGCGUGGUAUGAGUCAAAUGCUUAUACUUCUAACGUUGAGCUGUGAUGGGGAGCGAAGUUUAGUAGCGAGUGAGUGAUGUCACACUGCCAAGAAAAGCUUCUAGCGUUGUAUCAUACUCUACCCGUACCGCAAACCGACACAGGUAGUCGAGGCGAGUAGCCUCAGGUGAGCGAGAGAAC
rnacentral:rRNA from 1 species